UUGAUGGGGUAAGGCUCCCUGGAGACGACGGGGUUGAUAGGCCGGAGAUGGAAGCCUUGUGAGGGGUGGAGUCGACCGGUACUAAUAGGCCGAGGGCUUGUCCGC
rnacentral:rRNA from 1 species